GAGGAAUAUUGGUCAAUGGGCGAGAGCCUGAACCAGCCAAGUCGCGUGAAGGAAGAAGGUUCUAUGGAUUGUAAACUUCUUUUGCAUGGGAAUAAAGUGAGCUACGAGUAGUUUAUUGUAUGUACUGUGCGAAUAAGGAUCGGCUAACUCCGUGCCAGCAGCCGCGGUAAUACGGAGGAUCCGAGCGUUAUCCGGAUUUAUUGGGUUUAAAGGGUGCGUAGGCGGGAGAUUAAGUCAGCGGUGAAAGUUUGCAGCUUAACUGUAAAAUUGCCGUUGAAACUGAUUUUCUUGAGUGUAAAUAAGGUAGGCGGAAUGUGUUGUGUAGCGGUGAAAUGCAUAGAUAUAACACAGAACCCCGAUUGCGAAGGCAGCUUACCGGGCUACAACUGACGCUGAGGCACGAAAGCGUGGGGAUCAAAC
rnacentral:rRNA from 1 species